rnacentral:lncRNA from 1 species
GAAACGGAUAGAAAAGUAUUUCCUCCAUAUUAUGUACGUUGUAGUUAUUUGGAGAUAUAUCACAUAAUCUUUAAACUGAAUCUUCCCCUCUCUUAACAUCAUGUGUUAACAUGUUUAAAAAGACAGACCUCAGUAGUUUGCAGACUGGACCUUAAUUGGACUUGUUUUCUUUGAAAGUACUUUGUUAUAAAUUCAGUCAGUAAUAUUUAUGUGGAUUUUUCCCCCAUUAUCACAGAAAACAGAUAGUUAACUGAUGAUAGAGAUAAUGCUUUAUUUCCUUAGCUUGAUUUUUGGAAAAUCAAUUGAAAAUAGUUUUGGCCGUCUUUUCUAAAUAUUAGAAAUUCUUCAACAGUUAAAUUAGGUAAGUUCCAAAAACAGAAUCUGAGAGGCAUCUCAGAUCUUUAUUACCACUACAUUGUAGUAGUGGGUAUGCAGACAAUCAGUGAGAUCCAAUUACUUUCUCCAUUUGGAGACGCAGAAGGAACUUAGAGCUAAACCUUAGGUUAAAUU